CGUUUGAACCCUCAUCCAUUUAGACUCGGACCAUUAACAAAAAUUUCUCUCUCUCUCUCUGUGUGAUCAGAACCAGCCAUGUCUGUCGGAAUCAUCAUGCUCGAAAUGCUGUCCGCGCUCUUGCCACCGAGUCAAGCACCAAUCGGAGACUCAAAAACUCGUUAAUGGCGGAGGGAGCAGCUCGCAGUGGUUUGCCGGCAAUUCUAGAGCGGCGCCUUCGAGCUUCCUCUUUAUCGGCACCUUAGAGCAGAACCACAACUCCACGAGUAGCAACGCCAUGAGCGGAGUACUGAAAACUCAACAGAUCGGAUCGGUGCAGACCGAGUCCCGAGUUGUAGCCACUUUCGACGAUUGCGAAGCCGCCGCAGCCUCAGAACUUCGAUUCGCCGCCGAUGACGUCUUGAGUUCUUCCUAUCCACCGCCAUGAGUUUCAUCUUCGGCAAGCUAAAAACAUCCGCAGUUAAAGAAUCACCAAAGCAUGAAUGAAGUCUUUAGUCUUGUCAAAACGUGAUGAGGCCCUAUAACUCGCUGCUUAGCACCUCAGGCGUGUAAAAUAAGUGUUGGUCCACUACAGACUUGUUACAGCCAUGAUUGAUUUCUCCCUUAUUGAUUCUGAGACCAAGAUUGAAGCCUCUCAAGAUUUACAGUUACCUCCAGACCAAAGGCAAAAGCCACCUUGCCCUUCCAAUCCACCUGCACCUGAUUUGCCCUUGAUCGAUUGAUUGAGAUUUCGAUAUUUUGAUUCUGUAAUAUUGUUUCAGUUUUGUUACUUUGUGAUAUAGUAUAUGUGCAAUGGAAAAUCAAGAUUAUACUAUUUCAUUUACAGUUUUAGAUCUGCUUUCCAUUACUGAAAUACCUCAAAUGUGACACUAUUUGACCAUUCAUAGAUCUUAAAAUAGUAAUUGAGAAUACUUGGUGGUAACGGCACUACGGGAUUAAAUGUAUCGACAAGUUACCGAGCCAAGUGGAAUUUUGAUAUUUUUUGACAAAAUUUUCUUGCAGAAGAAAAGCAAUGUUCUUUGAGAUCCAUUUGGUUUUUUUUUGAGAUUUUGGGUUCUUCAUUUAUAUGCAUUUCCUUUUCAAAUAGUCAUGAUCACAGCUAUCUCACUCUUUUAUGCUUGAAGCUUUGUUGAAAGAUUUGUACAAUGAUGCAAGUUUUAUGAUGGUCUAUGUUCCAUGCGCUCUAUGCACUUUAGUCAUUCUCAUUAAGGUUUGUCAAUACCAUUUGUUUUAACAGUGACUUGGC